rnacentral:rRNA from 1 species
UACGUAGGGCGCAAGCGUUGUCCGGAAUUAUUGGGCGUAAAGAGCUCGUAGGCGGCUUGUCACGUCGGGUGUGAAAGCCCGGGGCUUAACCCCGGGUCUGCAUUCGAUACGGGCAGGCUAGAGUGUGGUAGGGGAGAUCGGAAUUCCUGGUGUAGCGGUGGAAUGCGCAGAUAUCAGGAGGAACACCGAUGGCGAAGGCAGAUCUCUGGGCCGUAACUGACGCUGAGGAGCGAAAGCGUGGGGAGCAAACAGG